AGGAGGAACAGCCCCAGUGGCGGGGCAGCUCUUGAAACCUGGAUUCAGCUCCGGCAGGAACUCCGUCUGCAGGGCCUGGAGGCUCCGGGGCGGG
rnacentral:pre_miRNA from 1 species